GUGCCAGCAGCCGCGGUAAUACGGAUGGGUGCAAGCGUUAUCCGGAUUUAUUGGGUUUAAAGGGUCCGUAGGCGGACCGAUAAGUCAGUGGUGAAAUCUCAUAGCUUAACUAUGAAACUGCCAUUGAUACUGUCGGUCUUGAGUAAAUUUGAAGUGGCUGGAAUAAGUAGUGUAGCGGUGAAAUGCAUAGAUAUUACUUAGAACACCAAUUGCGAAGGCAGGUCACUAAGAUUUAACCGACGCUGAGGGACGAAAGCGUGGGGAGCGAACAGGAUUAGAUACCCUGGUAGUCCACGCCGUAAACGAUGCUAACUCGUUUUUGGACCUUCGGGUUCAGAGACCAAGCGAAAGUGAUAAGUUAGCCACCUGGGGAGUACGAUCGCAAGAUUGAAACUCAAAGGAAUUGACGGGGGCCCGCACAAGCGGUGGAUUAUGUGGUUUAAUUCGAUGAUACGCGAGGAACCUUACCAAGACUUAAAUGGGAAAUGACAGGUUUGGAAACAGACCCUUCUUCGGACAUUUUUCAAGGUGCUGCAUGGUUGUCGUCAGCUCGUGCCGUGAGGCGUUAGGUUAAGUCCUGCAACGAGCGCAACCCCUGUCACUAGUUGCUAACAUUAAGUUGAGGACUCUAGUGAGACUGCCUACGCAAGUAGAGAGGAAGGUGGGGAUGACGUCAAAUCAUCACGGCCCUUACGUCUUGGCCACACACGUAAUACAAUGGCCGGUACAGAGGCAGCUACACAGCGAUGUGAUGCAAUCUCGAAAGCCGGUCUCAGUUCGAUUGAGUCUGCACUCGACUCUAUGAAGCUGAAUCGCUAGUAUCGCGCAUCAGCAUGCUCGCGAUACGUCCUGGCUUGCACUCACCGCCGCAGUGAUCGAUAACUGCAGAACUAGUCCUUAGUGAGGUAAUCCUA
rnacentral:rRNA from 1 species